AUGUCCAUGGACCAUGCUCUGGCAUGUGCUUCUUCUUUGGUUCCCUGCCAAGAGGUGGUUGAAGAGCCCCUGCUGAAUUCCUUGCUCUCCAUCAAACAAGGCCUCAACAUGUUCAUCAUAGAAGACAAAGGGGGCGCCAUUGCCAUCAUGUGCGCCUCCCUCUUUUUUCUGGGCACGUGGCCAGCGGUGCUUACCCUCUUGGAGCGCCGGGGACGGCUGCCGCAGCACACAUACCUCGACUACUCCAUAACGAACCUCCUUGCGGCCGUCCUCAUAGCGCUUACCUUCGGCCAGCUUGGGGAUGCAAAGCACAACAUGCCCAAUUUCUUCACUCAGCUCAGUCAGGACAACUGGCCUUCAGUGAUGUUUGCAAUGGCAGGGGGUGUUGUGCUCAGUGUUGGGAACCUCUCAACACAGUAUGCUUGGGCAUAUGUGGGCCUCUCAGUCACUGAGGUUAUCAGCUCAAGCAUGGUUGUUGUUAUAGGCACGACACUAAAUUACUUCCUAGACAAUCGCAUCAACAAGGCAGAGAUUCUUUUCACUGGAGUGGCAUGCUUCCUUGUUGCAGUCAUCCUUGGCUCUGCUGUUCAUGCUUCCAAUGCGGCUGACAAUGAAAAGAAACUCAGUGAAUCCACAAAUACCUACAAACUUGGGACGGAUGGAGGUACGGAGAGAGGCAAACAAGUUAUAGACAAAGAUGCUCCGAAGGACAUGGAGAAUGGAGCUUCUGCAGAGUGUGACACCAAAGCCGAAGCUGGAACUGCAGAAUACCUAAUUGAGCUCGAAGAGCGCCGUUCAAUUAAGGUAUUUGGAUCAAGCACCUUUAUAGGGCUUGGGAUAGUUUUCUUUUCUGGCGUCUGCUUCUCUCUCUUCUCCCCGGCGAUCAACCUGGCCACCAAUGACCAGUGGCACACCCUGAAAGACGGUGUCCCGCAUUUGGUGGUCUACACCGCCUUCUUCUACUUCUCCAUUUCGUGUUUUGUCGUCGGUAUCGGGUUGAACAUCUUGUUCCUCUACCGUCCAAUGGCGGGCGUGCCAAAGUCAUCCUUCAAGGCCUACCUGAAUGACUGGGAAGGCAGGCAAUGGGCUCUUCUUGCCGGCUUCCUUUGCGGUUUCGGCAAUGGCUUCCAAUUCAUGGGUGGUCAGGCUGCUGGUUAUGCAGCUGCUGAUGCUGUUCAGGCAUUGCCGCUUGUGAGCACACUUUGGGGUAUCCUGCUAUUUGGGGAGUACCGAAAGUCGUCGAAGAAAACGUAUACUCUGCUCGUGUUCAUGCUGCUCAUGUUUAUCGCAGCUGUAGCAACACUCAUGGCUUCAGCAGGUCACAGGAGCACAAAAUGA
rnacentral:rRNA from 1 species